rnacentral:rRNA from 1 species
AGAGUUUGAUCCUGGCUCAGGACGAACGCUGGCGGCGUGCUUAACACAUGCAAGUCGAACGGGAUCCUUUCAAGCUUGCUAGGGGGGUGAGAGUGGCGAACGGGUGAGUAACGCGUGAUUAACCUGCCGUGUAGUUUGGAAUAGCUCCUGGAAACGGGUGGUAAUGCCGAAUGUUCCACAUGCUCGCAUGGGUGUGUGGGAAAACGUUUUAGUGCUAUGCGAUGGGAUCGCGUCCUAUCAGCUUGUUGGUGGGGUAGUGGCCUACCAAGGCUUCGACGGGUAGCCGGCCUGAGAGGGCGACCGGCCACAUUGGGACUGAGAUACGGCCCAGACUCCUACGGGAGGCAGCAGUGGGGAAUAUUGCACAAUGGGGGGAACCCUGAUGCAGCGACGCCGCGUGCGGGAUGACGGCCUUCGGGUUGUAAACCGCUUUUAUUGGGGAGCAAGCGUGAGUGAGUGUACCUUUUGAAUAAGCACCGGCUAACUACGUGCCAGCAGCCGCGGUAA